GGUAUAGCUCAGUUGGCAGAGCAUUGGAUUGUGGCUCCAAGGGUCGCGGGUUCAAAUCCCGCUAUC
rnacentral:tRNA from 1 species